rnacentral:rRNA from 1 species
UACGUAGGUGGCGAGCGUUAUCCGGAAUUACUGGGCGUAAAGCGCACGCAGGCGGUUUCUUAAGUUUGACGUGAAAACUCCUGGCUUAACUGGGAGAGGUCGUUGAAGACUGGGGAACUUGAGGCAAUGAGAGGGAUGUAGAAUUCACGGUGUAGUGGUGGAAUGCGUAGAUAUCGUGAGGAAUACCAGUGGCGAAAGCGACAUCCUGGCAUUAGCCUGACGCUCAUGUGCGAAAGCGUGGGGAGCGAACGGG